AGCAGCCGCGGUAAUUCCAGCUCCAAUAGCGUAUAUUAAAGUUGCUGCAGUUAAAAAGCUCGUAGUUGAAUUUCGGGACCGAUAUAUCGGUCGUGCCUCGGUACGUACUGGUAUUUUCGGUUUCUCCCUUCUGACGAACCUUGAUGUCAUUAAUUUGGUGUCUUGGGGAAUCAGGACUGUUACUUUGAAAAAAUUGAGUGUUUAAAGCAGGCUCACGCUUGAAUACAUUAGCAUGGAAUAAUGAAAUAGGACGUUUGAAUUCUAUUUUGUGUUUCUAGGAUCGACGUAAUGAUUAAUAGGGAUAGUUGGGGCAUUAGUAUUCAAUUGUCAGAGGUGAAAUUCUGGAUUUAUUGAAAGUACUAACUACUGCGAAAAGCCAAUUUGCCAAGGAUGUUUUCAUUAAUCAAGAACGAAAGUUAGGGAUCGAAGACGAUCAGAUACCGUCGUAGUCGUUAACCAUAAACUAUGCCG
rnacentral:rRNA from 1 species